rnacentral:rRNA from 1 species
UACAGAGGGGGCAAGCGUUAUUCGGAAUUCUUGGGCGUAAAGGGCGCGUAGGCGGCUUUGCAAGUGACGGGUUAAAUCCCUCGGCUUAACCGAGGAACUGCCUGUCAGACUGCAUGGCUUGAGACCAGGAGAGGUGAGUGGAAUUCCCAGUGUAGCGGUGAAAUGCGUAGAUAUUGGGAGGAACACCAGUGGCGAAGGCGGCUCACUGGACUGGUACUGACGCUGAGGCGCGAAAGCGUGGGGAGCAAACAGG